rnacentral:tRNA from 1 species
GCCGACGUAGCUCAACUGGCAGAGCGCCCGCCUUGUAAGCGGAAGGUUCGGGGUUCGAGUCCCCGCGUCGGCUCCA